UUCCCAUCCAUGUACUGAAUGUUUUCGCUGCAUCCGCGUUCGUCUGCCUCAACACGGAUUUGGAGAAAAGCACCAUGUUUACUUCUAUUCCAGUAAACGCAAGAGCAGCAAGUCCUUCACUUACUGAAACAAUAAUGCUGGAAAAUUAAUAUGGAUUAUAUCAGAGUUGGUCAGUGAAUGUACCAAGAACCAGUGAUCCUGCUCUCCAUCCACCUGUUCUGUCUCUUGCUGCUGGCUCCCCAUACAUGUCGACUGUCCCAUCUUUCGUGCAUUCAUCGAGAAGCCCCGUCCCUCGUUCCUGCAUGCCGUAGAUCAAGCUUAAUGAGAUCUGAGUCUAGAGAAGGUAAGAAUAAGAUACAAGGAUGUUGAUUGGAUUAGGGUCGGUCUCAUGGGCUAUUCAUUUCGUGUUAGUUGGGACUGGAUUUAUUUUUUCGGGUUAGAAAUUUUCGAACCACAACCCCUAUUCAUUUUACCACUCUUUCUAUAUUCAGGCUGAAUUGACAUUCCUCUGUAUUGUUUCUUGACGAACGACGACGUAAAGAAUGUAGAGACAGAAAGGCGCGGCCUUUAGUUGUGUUAGUAAGGGAGUGAACAGGGAGUGCAAAACCUUCAAUCAUGGCUCUUACAGCUUCUUCAACAACAUGCGAGAGAUCAAAGAUUUGUAAAGUGGAAAAAGAGAUCGGCUCAAAAGAGAUUUUCUCAAUCAUUGUGUUUUGUAUUUAUUAACGUGGAAAACAUGGAAACGACAAACAAACAUGGCAAUGAAAUGAAUUAUACUCGAGAAUAUGUGAAGACAGAAGAAGAAAUAUUAUGGCUGCUUGACAAACUGCAUUUUUCAUCAUUCAAAUUUUUAAUUUGAAAAAGGAGGUAAAAGCAUUAUCUUU